rnacentral:ncRNA from 1 species
UGCUCAUCCAGAGGGGUGGAGGGACCGGCCCUGCGAAGCCCCGGCAACCAUCUCGGUUCAAGACUCGUAAUCUGACGAGGUCAGCCGAGACAGGUGCCAAUUCCGGUCUGUGACCAGGGUGGUCGCAGACGAAGAUGAGGG